rnacentral:rRNA from 1 species
GAUGAACGCUGGCGAGAUGCCUUACACAUGCAAGUCGUACGAGAGUUUUUAACUCAAGUGGCGGACGGGUGAGUAACACGUAAGAAUUUGCCUUUAGGAGGGGGACAACAACUGGAAACGGUUGCUAAUACCCCAUAUGCUUUCGAGUGAAAUGGAUUUUCCGCCUAGAGAGAAGCUUGCGGCUGAUUAGCUUGUUGGUGAGGUAAUGGCUCACCAAGGCGACGAUCAGUAUCUGGUUUGAGAGGACGAUCAGACACACUGGAACUGAGACACGGUCCAGACUCCUACGGGAGGCAGCAGUGGGAAUUUUCCGCAAUGGGCGAAAGCCUGACGGAGCAAGACCGCGUGGGGGAGGAAGGUUUUUGGAUCGUAAACCCUUUGUCAAGGAAGAAGCUCUGACGGUACUUGACGAAUAAGCCUCGGCUAACUCCGUGCCAGCCGCCGCGGUAAU